rnacentral:rRNA from 1 species
GAUGAACGCUAGCGGGAGGCCUAAUACAUGCAAGUCGAGCGGUAGAGUGACUUCGGUUGCUUGAGAGCGGCGAACGGGUGAGUAACGCGUACACAAUCUACCUUUAAGAGGGGAAUAGCCCUGGGAAACUGGGAUUAAUGCCCCAUGGCAUCACGAGACGGCAUCGUUUUGUGAUUAAAGACUGAGGUGCUUAGAGAUGAGUGUGCGUCUGAUUAGCUAGUUGGUGCGGUAACGGCGCACCAAGGCGACGAUCAGUAGGGGGCGGUGAGAGCGUGGACCCCACCACGGGUACGUGAGACACGGACCCGA